rnacentral:rRNA from 1 species
CGGGAGGCAGCAGUUAGGAAUCUUCGGCAAUGGGCGCAAGCCUGACCGAGCGACGCCGCGUGGGGGACGAAGCCCUUCGGGGUGUAAACCCCUUUCAGGGGGGAAGAAUCCCGGGGGGUCGAACAGGCCCUUCCGGGUGACGGUACCCCCAGAAGAAGGGACGGCGAACUACGUGCCAGCAGCCGCGGUAAUACGUAGGUCCCGAGCGUUACCCGGAUUCACUGGGCGUAAAGUGCGCGUAGGCGGUCGGGUGUGUCGUCCGUGAAAGCCCCCGGCUCAACCGGGGAACGGCGGACGAAACUGCCCGACUCGAGGGCGGGAGAGGCCGGUGGAGCUACCGGAGUAGCGGUGAAAUGCGCAGAUACCGGUAGAAACCUCGAUGGCGAAGGCAGCCGGCUGGCCCGUUCCUGACGCUGAGGCGCGAAAGCGUGGGGAGCGAACCGGAUUAGAUACCCGGGUAGUCCACACCCUAAAC